CCCUUAGAUGUUCUGGGCCGCACGCGCGCUACACUGACGAAUGCAACGAGCUUAUAACCUUGGCCGAAAGGUCUGGGUAAUCUCCAAAUUUCGUCGUGAUGGGGAUAGAUUAUUGCAAUUAUUAAUCUUCAACGAGGAAUGCCUAGUAAGCGCAAGUCAUCAGCUUGCGUUGAUUACGUCCCUGCCCUUUGUACACACCGCCCGUCGCUCCUACCGAUUGAGCAAACCGGUGAAUAGUUUGGACCGUCGGCUUUCUCGGUUCGCCGGGUUAGCAGUGCGGAAAAUUCAGUGAACCUUUUUGCUUAGAGGAAGGAGAAGUCGUAACA
rnacentral:rRNA from 1 species